rnacentral:lncRNA from 1 species
GCCGCCACCAGGCAGCUGGCAGCGCGACCCAGCCACGCACUGGGAGCGCGCCCUCUCCCCAACUUCUCACCCUCGCCCUGGGUUCCGGGCCCCAGGCCCAGAGAAAAGCAAACAGAAAGAACUUCAAGAUUACAAAUAUCCGUCUCAUUUGAUGCUGAAUUACACGUGGACAGAUAAGAAAAGUGCUUUUGAUAUCAAUAACCUGAGGCAAGUGAAGUGGAAGUUUCUGGAUAUGUCAGGUGAUGCAGAUUUGACUCACAUGGUCUUUUGCUGAUACAGACUCAUUUGCCAUCUGAGGCAAGACCCCUGGGAGGACACAUGAUGUUUGGAGAGAGUAUAAAUAGGACUCAACGGAUAGUGAUGGAGUGCUUGCAUAGCUAGCUUUGCAAUGCUUUUGUGGCCUCAGUCUUCCUCUUCACUUCAUGGAGAUUGGCACAUCAGAUAACUUCUCCUGCUGACCCUUCUGGACCUGGUUACUCCUGCUGACUCCUGACAAUUCGGUGGAGGCCUGGCAGUUUCUGCUGGAUCGCGCCACUGCUGCUGAUUCAUGUUUGGUAGCCUGACACUGCUGAACUGGACUCCUGCUAUCCUACAACGGAGAUUGGAACUGCCUCAAAGAACUACUUCUAAACGGUGCUGCCAAACUGGAGUGAUUUUCCACAGAUAUAAUAGAACCCUGUUCCUGCCAAUUCAUAAGACAUAGUUGAUUUGUUUGUCUUCUACCCAAUGAAGCACUAAGAAGCAUAUUUCCUACUGUAUGAAAUUAUAUUUUCUUUUAUUAAAAAAGUUAAACGGU